GCCGGGAUAGCUCAGCUGGGAGAGCAACAGACUGAAGCCUUGAAGCUUAGGGUCUUCUGGAGGUCCCGUGUUCAAUCUACGGUCCUGGCA